rnacentral:rRNA from 1 species
UACGUAGGGUGCGAGCGUUAUCCGGAAUUACUGGGUGUAAAGGGUGCGCAGGCGGCUAUUUAAGUCAGAUGUGAAAACUCAGGGCUCAACCUUGAGGCUGCAUCUGAAACUGGAUAGCUAGAGUGUGGGAGAGGAAAGUGGAAUUCCGAGUGUAGCGGUGAAAUGCGUAGAGAUUCGGAGGAACACCAGUAGCGAAGGCGGCUUUCUGGACCAUAACUGACGCUGAGGCACGAAAGCGUGGGGAGCAAACAGG